AUAACAGUUGGAAACGACUGCUAAUACCGCAUAAGCGCACGGUAUCGCAUGAUACAGUGUGAAAAACUCCGGUGGUAUAAGAUGGACCCGCGUCUGAUUAGCUAGUUGGUGGGGUAACGGCCCACCAAGGCGACGAUCAGUAGCCGGCCUGAGAGGGUGAACGGCCACAUUGGGACUGAGACACGGCCCAAACUCCUACGGGAGGCAGCAGUGGGGAAUAUUGCACAAUGGGGGAAACCCUGAUGCAGCGACGCCGCGUGAGUGAUGAAGUAUUUCGGUAUGUAAAACUCUAUCAGCAGGGAAGAUAAUGACGGUACCUGACUAAGAAGCACCGGCUAAAUACGUGCCAGCAGCCGCGGUAAUACGUAUGGUGCAAGCGUUAUCCGGAUUUACUGGGUGUAAAGGGUGCGUAGGUGGUAUGGCAAGUCAGAAGUGAAAGGCUGGGGCUCAACCCCGGGACUGCUUUUGAAACUGUCAAACUAGAGUACAGGAGAGGAAAGCGGAAUUCCUAGUGUAGCGGUGAAAUGCGUAGAUAUUAGGAGGAACGCCAGUGGCGAAGGCGGCUUUCUGGACUGAAACUGACACUGAGGCACGAAAGCGUGGGGAGCAAACAGGAUUAGAUACCCUGGUAGUCCACGCCGUAAAC
rnacentral:rRNA from 1 species